ACUCUCAGCGGCCGGGAGGAAUCCCUCUUGGCCAGUGAGAGUAUACACUUUCAUGUACAUGAGAGUGUACUCUUUCACCGGCCAAGAGGAAUCCCUCCCGGCCGGUGAGAGU
rnacentral:miRNA from 1 species